rnacentral:sRNA from 1 species
UUUUAUAAAAUGAUAGCAGGAGAAAUCCUGCUCUUGAGUCCUCACAACCUGUGGGGUCCAGCUGCAGUCAGGCCCCGAGUGCGGUCGUAGAGGCGACGCUGGAGGGAGGGGAGCGCUUAGGCUUUUUGCAAACAGCCGGGCUGUACUUGCUUCUGGUGAAGCCUGUGAUGCAGUCUGGAUUUCGGUCAGCAGUCACCUUUCUUCUCUUCGCCUUCCUUUGUCUGCGUUGGGAGGGGUGGGAAGGAGGAGGACGGUUUCUGGCCUGGCCUUUCACCUGGCUUUUCUGAUUUCUGACUCUUACCUUGGUGUGGAUUAUUCCUUCUCCCUGGAAGGUUUCUGAAAAAUGUUUAGGAGAACUACUUUUUUUUUUUUUUUUUGGAGACGGAGUCUUGCUCUGUCACCCAGGCUGGGGUGCAGUGGCAUGAUCUCGACUCACUGCAACCUCCGCCUUCCAGGUUCAAGCGAUUCUCCUGCCUCAGCCUCCCGAGUAGCCGGGAUUACAGGCACCUGCCACCAUGCCCAACUAAUUUUUGUAUUUUCAGUAGAGACAGGGUUUCACCAUGUUGGCCAGGCUGGUCUCGAACUCCUGAUCUCAGGUGAUCCACCUGCCUGGGCCUCCCAAAGUGCUCAGAUUACAGGCGUGAGCCACCAUACCAGGCCGGAGAACUACCUUUAUUAUUGUUCUUGCAUCUUAAAAAAUUCCCUAAGGCCUUAAAGCCAAGCGGUGGUCUCGCACAGGCAAGGCUUGUUUCUGUUUGCUUGGGCUGUGGAAUCGCUGGGCUGUCCUCCCCAGCCAAGGGCACCUGAGCAGCCGUUCUGUUGGCAACUAUCCUCUGCGUGAACUUUGAAGGAGACACAUGCUUUCCCAAUCAUCUCAGUUUCUUUCUGGGAUGUAAAGAAUCAUUUAAAUUAUGAACACAGAGUCUUUAAUAGUGAAGAAUUUCUCAAAACCAGGGCUCCAGGGGACCAUCGGUUUUAUAAGCAGGUCUUAGACACCUACAUGUUCCAUUCUUUUCUUAAAGCCCGGCUCAAUAGGAGGAUGGAUGCCUUUGCUCAGAUGGACCUCGACACCCAAUCGGAGGAGGACAGAAUAAAUGGAAUGCUUCUAAGUCCAAGGAGACCGACCGUUGAGAAAAUAGCCUCCCGGAAGUCCUCACAUCUGCACAUCACCCACAGGCGCAUGGUGGUCAGCAUGCCCAACCUGCAGGACAUUGCCAUGCCUGAGCUGGCACCCAGGAACUCCUCGCUCCGGCUGACGGACACCGCAGGCUGUAGGGGAAGCAGCUCAGUUCUGAAUGUCACGCCGAAGUCCCCAUAUACAUUCAAGAUUCCCGAAAUCCACUUUCCGCUGGAGAGCAGGUACGUGCAGGCAUACUAUGCCGACUUUGUCUCCAUGCUGAGCAAGGCCAUGGGCUUUCUGGCCCCCGAUAACUCUCUGCUCCUGGCCCGCUAUUUCUACCUCCGAGGGCUCGUUCAUCUGAUGCAAGGACAGCUGCUGAGCGCCCUCUUGGACUUCCAGAAUCUGUAUAAAACAGACAUACGGAUCUUUCCCGCUGAUUUGGUGAAGAGGACGGUGGAAUCCAUGUCUGCCCCUGAGCGGGCGCAGGCUCAGCGGGCGCCGGAGCUGAUGAGGCUCAUCAGCGAGAUCCUGGACAAGCCGCACGAGGCCUCGAAGCUGGACGACCACGUGAAGAAGUUCGAGCUGCCCAAGAAGCACAUGCAGCUGGGCGACUUCAUGAAGCGGGUCCAGGAGUCAGGGAUCGUGAAGGAUGCCAGCACCAUACACCGGCUGUUCGAGGCCUUGACUGUAGGACAGGAGAAACAAAUCGACCCAGAAACAUUCAAAGAUUUCUACAACUGCUGGAAGGAGACGGAAGCAGAAGCCCAGGAGGUCAGUCUGCCGUGGCUGGUGAUGGAACACCUGGAUAAAAAUGAGUGUGUGUAUAAGUUGUCCAGCUCCGUCAAGACAAACCUAGGUGUUGGCAAGAUCGCCAUGACCCAGAAGCGCCUGUUCCUCCUAACCGAAGGAAGGCCAGGCUACAUGGAGAUUUCCACCUUCAGAAAUAUAGAGGUAAGGACAGCACGGGCAGACGGCACCAGACCCCACCUGUGUUUAGGAGACAGAUGGCUGGAGUGGGCCCUGAGCUGUCUGCCAGCCGUGCCAAGUACCAGCUGCAGUGCUUCUGCAGACCGCUUGCCUUCCUGUCCCUCAGUUUGCUCAUGUGUAAAGCAGGAAUAAGGCUGAUACCUUCUCAGUGGGUGGUGGGGAUUGAAUAGUUUGCAUAUGGAGCAUGCUUAGAAUGGUAACUGAUUCUCUGACACAGCUGACUUGCAUCUGGGAGGCAGGAAGUAAGCAGCAAUGUGGGCUGACAUUCUCAUUAGGGACAGUAGGACGCCUUCGUUCAUCCAUGAGAUGUUUACUGAGAAACCGCCGUGUGCCAGCCACGGUGAGCUACAGUAGCUCAUAUUUUCUAGUCACAGUCGGACCUGGUUCAUAUAAAACAUAACAAUUUUAUUUUAUAACAAUUAAAAAAUCUUUGAACAGUUUUAACAUUAUACUCUAAAGGUAGUCAUUUUCCCUGUCGAGGAAAUCUGAAUUUCAUCCUGAUUCCUCUUACGCCUUAUAGUUGUUUUCCCAGAUUUAAGAGGACUGUAAGAGGCGUGUCAGAUACACGAAUGUUUUAUGUGAUCACUUACUGAGUGGUCAUAGAAGCCGGAAAGGCAGUCAAACCACAGCCGCAGCCCAUAGUAAAUGCUCGGCCAGUAGAUCCCCCUCUUGCUGUUGGCCUUCACUUUAUGCUUUUCUCCACACCUGCUUUGCCAGACUUCUAGAAUUCCAAAGAAAGGUAAAUAAGUACCAGGAAAGGGAGAUGGAAGU